UGGAAACGAUCGGAUUCGAACCGAUGACUUUAUGCGUGCAAAGCAUACGUUCUACCAACUGAACUACAUCCCC
rnacentral:tRNA from 2 species